GCCUGGCUAGCUCAAUCGGCUAGAGCAUUCGACUCUUAAUCGAAAGGUUGCGGGUUCGAGUCCCGCGUUGGGUU
rnacentral:tRNA from 1 species